rnacentral:rRNA from 1 species
UACGGGGGGGGCAAGCGUUGUUCGGAAUUACUGGGCGUAAAGGGCUCGUAGGCGGCCAACUAAGUCAGACGUGAAAUCCCCAGGCUCAACCUGGGAACUGCGUCUGAUACUGGAUGGCUUGAAUCCGGGAGAGGGAUGCAGAAUUCCAGGUGUAGCGGUGAAAUGCGUAGAUAUCUGGAGGAAUACCGGUGGCGAAGGCGGCAUCCUGGACCGGCAUUGACGCUGAGACGCGAAAGCGUGGGGAGCGAACCGG